rnacentral:lncRNA from 1 species
GCCAGGUCAUGAGGUUACCCAAGCAGCCCUGUGGAGGCACUCCUAUGGGGAGGAACUGAGGCCUCCUGCCAACAGCCACGUGACUGAGCCACCUUGGAAACAGAUCAUCCAGCCCUCAAGCCCCCAGAUGACUGAAGCCCCAACCCCCUUGACUAUACCCACAUGAGAAAGCCUGAGCAGAACCAUCCCUCUAAACUGCUUCUAAAUUCUCAACCCACAAAAACUGUGAGAUAGUAAAUGUGUGUGGUUUUAAGCCACUAAGUUUUGGGGGCAAUUUGUUACACAGCAACAGAUAAGUAAUACAGAAACUUACCUGCCAGGUCACAGCACAUAUACUGGAGAGCUGUAGGCCUCCCCACUGGGGCCCUCCCCCUAUAAAACUUGAGGCAGUUGUUCUCAGACUCCCACAGGCAACAGAAUCAUCUGCCAGGCUUAUUAAAAUACAGAUUACUGGUCCCGACCCAAGAGUUUCUGAUUCGACAGAUCUGAGGAGAGAAGUAACAAGAGAGGCAGAGGGAAAUGAUUCUAACAGAAGUUCUAGCCACAUGGAAGGAAGCAUUAGCAGUGAGGAAUAACUGUUCUCUCCCUAAACAUACCACCCAAGGGAAACUAAUACUAAAUUAGCAUGAAGAGCAUACGCCUGUGAUCUCAGCUAUUCGGGAUGCAGAGGCAGGAGGAUCACAUGAGCUCAGAAGCUCAAGCCCAGCCUGGGCAACGUAGAAAGACACAGACUAAAAAAGAAAAAAAGGGAAGAAAAAAACAGAAGGGAAGAAAAAAAAAGAAGGAAAAAAUUAGCAUGAACAAUUCAAGGGAGACAAGACAACUGAGCCACCUUCCUAGCCAAGAAAAACCCCAGCUUGCAAUUUACUGAAUAGAAGUGUGCCACUUGACAGAGUAGUUUUAAUGACACUGAACCUUUUGUGAGUCUUGCACUUCUCUUGGCUGAAAUCUUCAAACUGGCUCAAAGAAGCUCCAGUCUCUUCAUUCUGUAAGUGUUGAUACCAUUUGCAUAACUACCUGUCAUUAUCCCCUACCAGGUGCCUCCUUUCCAACCUUGAACGUUUCUUCUUGAUUCAUUAUAAUUAAAGAGCUAAUGU